GUGCCGGAAGCCCAACGGUCGGGCAGCGGUCUCCAAAACCGAAGGUUGGGGGUUCGAAUCCCUCUCGGCACG
rnacentral:tRNA from 1 species